rnacentral:rRNA from 1 species
AGAGUUUGAUCCUGGCUCAGGACGAACGCUGGCGGCGUGCUUAACACAUGCAAGUCGAACGGAGUGCUUACGAAAGAGGCUUCGGCCAAUGGAAUGAGUUACUUAGUGGCGGACUGGUGAGUAACGCGUGAGGAACCUGCCUUUCAGAGGGGGACAACAGCUGGAAACGGCUGCUAAUACCGCAUAACACAUUUAAGCGGCAUCGCUUGAAUGUCAAAGAUUUAUCGCUGAAAGAUGGCCUCGCGUCUGAUUAGAUAGUAGGCGGGGUAACGGCCCACCUAGUCGACGAUCAGUAGCCGGACUGAGAGGUUGACCGGCCACAUUGGGACUGAGAUACGGCCCAGACUCCUACGGGAGGCAGCAGUGGGGAAUAUUGGGCAAUGGACGCAAGUCUGACCCAGCAACGCCGCGUGAAGGAAGAAGGCUUUCGGGUUGUAAACUUCUUUUAAGGGGGAAGAGCAGAAGACGGUACCCCUUGAAUAAGCCACGGCUAACUACGUGCCAGCAGCCGCGGUAAUACGUAGGUGGCAAGCGUUGUCCGGAUUUACUGGGUGUAAAGGGCGUGCAGCCGGAGAGACAAGUCAGAUGUGAAAUCCGCGGGCUUAACCCGCGAACUGCAUUUGAAACUGUUUCCCUUGAGUAUCGGAGAGGUAAUCGGAAUUCCUAGUGUAGCGGUGAAAUGCGUAGAUAUUAGGAAGAACACCAGUGGCGAAGGCGGAUUACUGGACGACAACUGACGGUGAGGCGCUAAAGCGUGGGGAGCAAACAGGAUUAGAUACCCUGGUAGUCCACGCUGUAAACGAUCAAUACUAGGUGUGCGGGGACUGACCACCUGCGUGCCGGCGUUAACACAAUAAGUAUUGCACCUGGGGAGUACGAUCGCAAGGUUGAAACUCAAAGGAAUUGACGGGGGCCCGCACAAGCGGUGGAUUAUGUGGUUUAAUUCGAAGCAACGCGAAGAACCUUACCAGGGCUUGACAUGGAGGGGACCGGGCUAGAGAUAGUCCUUUUCUUCGGAACCCCUCACACAGGUGGUGCAUGGUUGUCGUCAGCUCGUGUCGUGAGAUGUUUGGUUAAGUCCCGCAACGAGCGCAACCCCUAUUGUUAGUUGCUACGCAAGAGCACUCUAGCGAGACUGCCGUUGACAAAACGGAGGAAGGCGGGGACGACGUCAAAUCAUCAUGCCCCUUAUGUCCUGGGCUACACACGUAAUACAAUGGCGGACAACAGAGGGAUGCAAAGCCGCGAGGCAGAGCGAACCCCAAAACUCCGUCCCAGUUCGGAUUGCAGGCUGCAACCCGCCUGCAUGAAGUCGGAAUCGCUAGUAAUCGCGGAUCAGAAUGCCGCGGUGAAUACGUUCCCGGGCCUUGUACACACCGCCCGUCACACCAUGAGAGUCGGGAACACCCGAAGUCCGUAGCCUAACCUUUUAGGAGGGCGCGGCCGAAGGUGGGUUCGAUAAUUGGGGUGAAGUCGUAACAAGGUAACCGUA